GACGAACGCUGGCGGCGUGCUUAACACAUGCAAGUCGAACGGAAAGGCCCUGCUUUUGUGGGGUGCUCGAGUGGCGAACGGGUGAGUAACACGUGAGUAACCUGCCCUUGACUUUGGGAUAACUUCAGGAAACUGGGGCUAAUACCGGAUAGGAGCUCCUGCUGCAUGGUGGGGGUUGGAAAGUUUCGGCGGUGGGGGAUGGACUCGCGGCUUAUCAGCUUGUUGGUGGGGUAGUGGCUUACCAAGGCUUUGACGGGUAGCCGGCCUGAGAGGGUGACCGGCCACCUUGGGACUGAGAUACGGCCCAGACUCCUACGGGAGGCAGCAGUGGGGAAUAUUGCACAAUGGGCGGAAGCCUGAUGCAGCAACGCCGCGUGCGGGAUGACGGCCUUCGGGUUGUAAACCGCUUUCGCCUGUGACGAAGCGUGAGUGACGGUAAUGGGUAAAGAAGCACCGGCUAACUACGUG
rnacentral:rRNA from 1 species